AUUGAACGCUGGCGGCAUGCUUUACACAUGCAAGUCGAACGGUAACAUAAGAAAGCUUGCUUUCUUGAUGACGAGUGGUGAACGGGUGAGUAAUACAUCGGAACGUACCCUGUAGUGGGGGAUAACUACUCGAAAGAGUGGCUAAUACCGCAUACAACCUGAGGGUAAAAGUGGGGGACCGCAAGGCCUCACGCUAUAGGAGCGGCCGAUGGAAGAUUAGGUAGUUGGUGGGGUAAAGGCCUACCAAGCCGACGAUCUUUAGCGGGUCUGAGAGGACGAUCCGCCACACUGGGACUGAGACACGGCCCAGACUCCUACGGGAGGCAGCAGUGGGGAAUUUUGGACAAUGGGCGAAAGCCUGAUCCAGCAAUGCCGCGUGAGUGAAGAAGGCCUU
rnacentral:rRNA from 1 species